UACGAAGGGGGCUAGCGUUGUUCGGAAUUACUGGGCGUAAAGCGCACGUAGGCGGACUACUAAGUCAGGGGUGAAAUCCCGGGGCUCAACCCCGGUACUGCCUUUGAUACUGAUAGUCUCGAGUCCGGAAGAGGUGAGUGGAAUUCCGAGUGUAGAGGUGAAAUUCGUAGAUAUUCGGAGGAACACCAGUGGCGAAGGCGGCUCACUGGUCCGGUACUGACGCUGAGGUGCGAAAGCGUGGGGAGCAAACAGG
rnacentral:rRNA from 1 species